CCAAACUUGGUCAUUUAGAGGAAGUAAAAGUCGUAACAAGGUUUCCGUAGGUAAGUGAAAAAAGCUUUCCAUCUUAUACCUCCCCCCCCCCCUUACUAUGGAUUGAAUAAUGUGCUAACUUUUCCCUUUUUAGGUGAACCUGCGGAAGGAUCAUUACUGAAGUUGCUGGGAGAUGUUGCUGGCUUUUUCUUUUUAAAAAAGCAAUGUGCACUCUUUCAAACUCUCACAAACUUCCUUCUCACCCCCUUGUGCACACUUGGUAGAGGCCUCCCCGAGGGAGAAGACUCUAUGUUUUUGUUUUUUGCUACACACACGAGAUUUUGAAUGUACAUGCUUAUGGCAAUAUCAGAAAGAAACAACUUUCAACAAUGGAUCUCUUGGCUCUCGCAUCGAUGAAGAACGCAGC
rnacentral:misc_RNA from 1 species